rnacentral:tRNA from 1 species
GGAUAUUAAGGAUUGGUCUACCCGACUUGAAAUCGGGUGCCCGCAGGGGCCGUGAGUUCGGCUCUUACCCUCUCCU